UAUUGGUCAAUGGGCGAGAGCCUGAACCAGCAACGCCGCGUGAAGGAAGAAGGCCCUCGGGUUGUAAACUUCUUUUGUCAGGGACGAAGCAAGUGACGGUACCUGACGAAUAAGCCACGGCUAACUACGUGCCAGCAGCCGCGGUAAUACGUAGGGGGCAAGCGUUAUCCGGAUUUACUGGGUGUAAAGGGAGCGUAGACGGCUGUGCAAGUCUGGAGUGAAAGCCCGGGGCUCAACCCCGGGACUGCUUUGGAAACUGUACGGCUGGAGUGCUGGAGAGGCAAGCGGAAUUCCUAGUGUAGCGGUGAAAUGCGUAGAUAUUAGGAGGAACACCAGUGGCGAAGGCGGCUUGCUGGACAGUAACUGACGUUGAGGCUCGAAAGCGUGGGGAGC
rnacentral:rRNA from 1 species